rnacentral:rRNA from 2 species
UGGGGAAUUUUGGACAAUGGGGGCAACCCUGAUCCAGCCAUUCCGCGUGAGUGAAGAAGGCCUUCGGGUUGUAAAGCUCUUUUGUCCGGAACGAAACGGUUAGCGUGAAUAUCGCUGACUACUGACGGUACCGGAAGAAUAAGCACCGGCUAACUACGUGCCAGCAGCCGCGGUAAUACGUAGGGUGCGAGCGUUAAUCGGAAUUACUGGGCGUAAAGCGUGCGCAGGCGGUUUUGUAAGCCAGAUGUGAAAUCCCCGGGCUUAACCUGGGAAUGGCAUUUGGGACUGCAAGGCUUGAGUGCGGCAGAGGAGACUGGAAUUCCUGGUGUAGCAGUGAAAUGCGUAGAUAUCAGGAGGAACACCGAUGGCGAAGGCAGGUCUCUGGGCUGACACUGACGCUCAUGCACGAAAGCGUGGGGAGCAAACA